rnacentral:lncRNA from 1 species
GAAAAAUUAAAAAUCCCUUACAACCAAAAUAUACGAUAAGUGUUUAUACAACCAAGACCAACAAGGGGUCAUUGAAUGGAUAUAUACAUAAAAGUUACUUAAUUACAAAAAUAUUUUUCAUUAAACUACGGACAAAAUAAACACUUGUAAAUACUCUAGGAAUCCAAGAAGGGAUCAAAUUAAGUUUCGAUGGGCAACACUGUGAGUGACUCAUCACUAUCAUCAUCUAGGAGUCCAACGAAAGAAAUGGUGAGUUCCAUGAAACUUAGUAAGGGAAACAAUAUUUAAAGUACAUUGCUAAGGUUUAAAGAGUUAAUAGCCUUAAAGUGAACAUUCUAACCCAAUGAAUGGCAUACCUUGGAGAUCCGUCGAUGAGUGAGGUAGACUUAAAUAUUUAAAAAAUAUUUAUUCUUUAAGAAAAUCUUUUAAAC